rnacentral:rRNA from 1 species
UACGUAGGGGGCUAGCGUUGUCCGGAAUCAUUGGGCGUAAAGCGCGUGUAGGCGGUCCGGUAAGUCCGCUGUGAAAGUCGGGGGCUCAACCCUCGAAUGCCGGUGGAUACUGUCGGGCUAGAGUGCGGAAGAGGCGAGUGGAUUCCUGGUGUAGCGGUGAAAUGCGCAGAUAUCAGGAGGAACACCAAUUGCGAAGGCAGCUCGCUGGGACGUAACUGACGCUGAGACGCGAAAGCGUGGGGAGCAAACAGG